rnacentral:rRNA from 1 species
CUACGGGUCGCUGCAGUGAGGAAUAUUGCACAAUGGGGGGAACCCUGAUGCAGCAACGCCGCGUGGAGGAUGACGCAUUUCGGUGUGUAAACUCCUUUUAUAUGUCAAGAAAAUGACGGUAGCAUAUGAAUAAGCACCGGCUAACUCCGUGCCAGCAGCCGCGGUAAUACGGAGGGUGUCAAGCGUUACUCGGAAUCACUGGGCGUGAAAGGACGCGUAGGCGGGUUGGAAAGUCAGGUGUGAAAUCCUACAGCUUAACUGUAGAACUGCACUUGAAACUUCUAAUCUAGAGUAUGGGAGGGGGAGAUGGAAUUAGUGGUGUAGGGGUAAAAUCCGUAGAUAUCACUAGGAAUACCUAAAGCGAAGGCGAUCUCCUGGAACAUUACUGACGCUAAGGCGUGAAAGCGUGGGGAGCAAACAGGAUUAGAUACCCCAGUAGUC